rnacentral:rRNA from 1 species
AUGGGCGCCGCCGACAACAACGCCGCGCCGCGGCAGGGGCAGCAGCCGGAUGGGGCCCGAGGGCGGGCACCGGCGCCGGAGCAGAGGGAGGUGAAGGUGGUGGUCAUGGACGAGCCGCCGCCGGCCGUGUCGAGGCUGCAGGCGCAGCGGCCCGUGGCGCCGCUGCAGGUGACCACGCAGGCGCCGCCGCCGCCCAUGUCGGUGGCCUCCGGCGGCGAGGACCCGCCGCCGCCCGCGGCGGCCUACCCGCCGCUCAUGCAGCAGACCCCACCACAGCCACUGGCGUCGUUGAACUCCCGCGUGUACACCAACCAGAUCACGCUGUGCCUCUUCCUGCUGCAGCUGGCGGCGGCGGGGCUCGCCGUCGGCUUCUUCGUGUACCGGGCCGUCAAGGACAUCGUGCAGGACCCGCGGUCCCGCAAUGCGCGGCGCGAGCAGAGCCUGCUCCGCCAGUGGCUGCCGCCAGUUGAGGGCGCCGUGGCGCUCAGCAUCGUGCUGGCCUUCGCGUGGCAGAAGGCGGUGCGCGCAUGGCCGCGCGCCAUGGUGACCGUCAUCCUCUGGUCGGCCUUCGGCGUCACGCUCGCCGUCGGCUCCCUGCUCAUGUGCUUCUCCAUGCCGGCCACCGUGGGGCUCGGUGUGGCCCUGGUGGUCUUCUCCAUCGGCACCGGGCUGUACGCGUGCUGGGUGACCCGCCGCGUCGGGUUCACGGCGCGGGUGUUCAAGAAGGCGGUGCAGCCCGUGGACAAGUUCCGCGGCCUCAAUGGGCCGGCGUACCUCAUGGUGGCCGCCGGGUUUGUGUGGAUCUCCGUGUGGUGCGUGGCCGUCAUCGGCGCCGUCAACUUCCGGUUCCCCGGCCUGACCAUCCUGGCGCUGGUGGUGAGCCUGGCGUGGACCGCCGAGGUGAUGCGCAACGUGGCGAACCUGACGGCCAGCCGGGUGAUCGCGCUCUACUACCUCCGCGGCAUGCAGUCCAGCGUGCAGUUCAGCUUCCAGCGCGCGCUGUCGUACAACCUCGGCAGCGCCUGCCUCGGCUCGCUCUUCGUGCCCACCAUCGAGGCGCUCCGCAUCCUCGCCCGCGGGCUCAACCUGCUGGAGGGCGAGGACGAGUUCAUGUUCUCCUGCGCGCACUGCUGCCUCAACGUCAUGAACGCCGUCUUCGAGUUCGGCAACAGCUGGGCAUUCGUCCAUAUUGCGGCGUACGGCAGGGGGUUCGUGCAGGCGUCGCGGAGCACGUGGAACCAGUUCGAGGGGCAGCCGGGGAUGCCGGCGCUGGCGGACGCGGACAUCACGAGCUCGGUGUGCUUCCUGACCGGGGUGACCAGCGGCGCGCUGUGCGUGGCGCUGGCGGGCUCGUGGACGUUCGUGACGCACAAGCACUACACGGCCACAGUGUCGCUCAUGGCGUUCUACGUGGGGUACCUGAUGACCCGGAUCGGCAUGGCGCUGCCGCAGGCGUGCGUGGGCUGCUACUACGUGUGCUACGCCGAGAACCCCAGGUCCCGGCUCUUCGAGGACAGCCCCAUAGGGGAGCGGCUGAACAAGAUGAAGGAGGACGGGCAGGACGCCGUCGGGGUCGCGCCCACCCCGCGGUUCCCGCACCAGCACGUCAGCGCCGCCUGA